AUUUUCAAGAGUUGAGAAUUUGAGCCAUGUAUCAUUGGUGAUUAAUUUCUAAAUGCUCCUGAUCAAUGGAUCAUCACGAGGACGGUGAUCGAUCCGAUCAGUGCACAGAUCACUUUCCUUCUGGAUGGACGAGACUUGAGUCCACAGUGUAGGGACACUGAAGUGAUAGUGCAGGUGCUUGUUAGAGAACAAGGGUACUGAGCGUGACCAACACAAGAAGUCACUUGGAUGUCUAUCCACUCGUCAGUGACUUGCUUGAUGUUGCAGUAGUGUGACUAGUCCUUUGACCUGCGAUACUUCGGCUACUCACAGUGAGGUUAUUGUAGUUUGACUGCACAAAUGCGUGGUCUCUAGCCAUAUGGGUCCAUGCAGUGUAGAUUGGCUGCAGUAAGUUCACUGUAGGAGUAGGGUAUGCAUGUACAAGGAAUCUAUCGACCCUGAUAGAUAAGGAGAGAUCCUAUGUGAUUUAUGAGACUGAGUUCGUAAGACCUCGGCCGGGGCAGAUUGCAUAGUGGAGAAAGAGUUUUCCACUCUCGAACUUAAGUCGAAUAAAUUUUGACAUAUGACAGACGAAGGGGUUUGACGAGUUAUCCAUGACCUCCGUCUUGUAGGGAUCCACGAUAGAAGGACUGUAACACAUGACAACUGCACCUAGAGGUUCAUCAUUCUAUUCUGCUGGGUAGCCACUACAUGCUGCUAGGUGUCACUGGUGGAUGGUGGGACUCAUA
rnacentral:lncRNA from 1 species